AUCGUUUUGUAGUCCAUAAGUGUGAUGAUUGGGUUUUUACACUGACCUUUGAGAUGUGCCUCCCUCAAACCUUGUUACCACCUUGGCAUAUUAUCCAUCUGAUG